rnacentral:rRNA from 1 species
CCAAAGUGAGUGGCUCAUACCUGAUAGCAGGGAGGUUUCUGACAGAACAAGCACCGGCUUACUCCGUGCCAGCAGCCGCGGUAAUACGGAUGGUGCUUAGCGUUAAUCGGAAUUACUGGGCGUAAAGCGUACGGAGGCGGUUUGUUAAGCCAGAUGUGAAACCCCCAGGCUCCUGGUGUGAACUGCAUUUCAAACUGGCAAAAUUGAGUGUGAUAGAGGGAGGUAGAAUUUCAUGUGUAGGAGCGAAAUGCGUAAAGGUCUGUAGGAAUACCGAUGGUGAAGGUGACCCCCUGGAGUAUGACUGACACACAUGUUUAAAUGCCUGGGGAGCAAACAGGAUUAGAUACCCUGGUAGUCCACCUGUAAACGAUGUCUCCUAGAAGCUCCUAACCUCUCUUCUGUUUUUCCGGGGAACCCUUAAGCAGGCCCCACGGGGAAGACCGUGCCGGGGUUAAAACCUAAUUAAUUGACC